rnacentral:rRNA from 1 species
CCAAUAGCGUAUAUUAAAGUUGUUGCAGUUAAAAAGCUCGUAGUUGAAUUUCGGGGUUCUACCGUUGGUCGGGCAAUUGUCUGUACUGGCGUGUGGAAUUUCUACCUUCUGGGGAACCAUCAUGUUAUUAAUUUAGCGUGGUGGGAAACCAGGACCUUUACCUUGAAAAAAUUAGAGUGUUCAAAGCAGGCUUACGUCUGAAUACAUUAGCAUGGAAUAAUAAAAUAGGACGGUGGUCCUGUUUUGUUGGUUUCUGAAUCACCGUAAUGAUUAAUAGGGAUAGUUGGGGGCAUUAGUAUUCAAUUGUCAGAGGUGAAAUUCUUGGAUUUAUUGAAGACUAACCUCUGCGAAAGCAUUUGCCAAGGAUGUUUUCAUUAAUCAAGAACGAAAGUUAGGGGAUCGAAGACGAUCAGAUACCGUCGUAGUCUUAACCAUAAACUAUGCCGACUAGGGAUCGGACGAUGUUAAUUUUUCUUGACUCGUUCGGCGCCUUACG